rnacentral:rRNA from 2 species
AAACGCUGAAGGCAUCUAAGCGUGAAGCCCCCCUUAAGAUGAGAUAUCCCAUUCGAAAGAAGUAAACCCCCUUGAAGACGACGAGGUAGAUAGGGCAGAGGUGGAAGUGUGGUAACACAUGGAGCUGACUGUUACUAAUCGGGUGAGGGCUUGACCAAA